rnacentral:tmRNA from 1 species
CCUCUUGGAAGCCGGGCCCGGAAGCCCUAUAUUCCUCCUGUCCGGGUUCGCCCGGACUAUGGCGAUAAACGUGCCUGUAAUAAGCGGACCGGACCCGGGUGCGAUUCCCGGCGGCUCCACCAUUUCUCCCCGCGUUAUCGGCGGAGCGAGCAUGGGGCCGACUAGCAUCGACGGACGUGUAAAGAGGAUUGCUUUCGCUCGUCCUGACCCACCGUAUCGGGUCAUUUUCUAACUGCGAACGAUAACUUCGCUGGGGAAUACGCCGUCGCCGCGUAAUGCGGUUCCGGUAAUUCCAAUCUAAGUCCUGGGGGUUCAGAUCCUCAGGCGGGGCCCGGAGGGCGCCUGGCAACAGAAGCCCUCCACU